CCGAAGCAGGCUCCAGGCUCAGAGCUGUCAGCACAGAGCCCGAUGCGGAGCUCGAACUCACAAACCAUGAGAUCAUGACCUGAGCCGAAGUCGGACACUCAACUGACCGAGCCACCCAUAAGCCCCUAUCAUGAAGAACUUCCAACCAGACUUAAUCAUACAGCAUCCUUAACAUCAAGGUUAUUUUAAAAUCUGGUUCAAAUAUUCUUUUCAGAAUAUAACUUUAUGUUCUGGUUCCUCAAUAUAUCUACCACAUGAUAUUUACAUUAUUAAAUGUUUAACUCUAUUACAAAAAUUAUAUGUAACCUCCAAAAGAUAUAGUUCUUGGGCUUUUUUUUUUAAACUGAUUUCAAAGACAGCUUUUGAAAGUAUUUUAAAAUACUGCUCAUUGACGGUAAGAGGUUUUUUUGGAAUUAAAACAUAUGCCCUAUUUACCUGAGGCCAGUGCACUUUUCCCAGCAUCCUUGCAGCUCACUAUGACUGUGCUGGAGACACACAGCGAGUGUGGCCUCGGAAUUACCUCCCAAGUAAAGCCCUUCAUGCAAGUCUCCAACCCUGUCUCCUCCCUGAGGCCUUUUCUCUGAGCGCUGACACAUAGAGUAAGUCUGAGUCACCAGAUGUCUGUGCUGAGCAGAGAGAGCCUCUUCUCCCUCGCCACUGUUGGACCUUUACGCAAACAAGACAGAAACCUCUGUUUCAUAAAUCCAUUCAAUGUCGUGUUUUGUUUGUUUUUUUUUUUAACAGCAGUAAACCUCAGUUGACUGAUUCAGAAGCCAAGUAAAACGAUCAAUGAGAUCCUCUUUCUAUAUCGGUUCCUGAGAAAGGGUUCAUUCCUCAGGAAACACAUCGAAGCAAAGAUCUGCUGGCAGAAGAUAAUAACUGCAUGAGAGCCUCGAUAAACGUCUUUUUCAAGUUCAGGAUGAGCCUACAAAUUCUAUGUUGUCAUGCAGUCCUGGAAUCCAUUGUCCAGAGCUGUGGCUCAACACUAGACGACAAGACUGGAAGGUGAA